rnacentral:rRNA from 1 species
AACGAACGCUGGCGGCAUGCCUAACACAUGCAAGUCGAACGAGACCUUCGGGUCUAGUGGCGCACGGGUGCGUAACGCGUGGGAACCUGCCCUUAGGUUCGUAAUAACUCCCCGAAAGGGGUGCUAAUACCGGCUAAUGUCUUCGGCCCAAAGAUUUAUCGCCUUUGGAUGGGCCCGCGUUGGAUUAGCUAGUUGGUAGGGUAAAAGCCUACCAAGGCGACGAUCCAUAGCUGGUCUGAGAGGAUGAGCAGCCACACUGGGACUGAGACACGGCCCAGACUCCUACGGGAGGCAGCAGUGGGGAAUAUUGGACAAUGGGCGAAAGCCUGAUCCAGCAAUGCCGCGUGAGUGAUGAAGGCCUUAGGGUUGUAAAGCGCUUUUACCCGGGAUGAUAAUGACAGUACCGGGAGAAUAAGCUCCGGCUAACUCCGUG